UUAGCUCAGCUGGUAGAGCAACUGACUUUUAAUCAGUAGGUCACAGGUUCGAACCCUGUAG
rnacentral:tRNA from 1 species